ACUCCUACGGGAGGCAGCAGUGGGAAUAUUGGACAAUGGGCGAAAGCCUGAUCCAGCCAUGCCGCGUGAGUGAUGAAGGCCCUAGGGUUGUAAAGCUCUUUCACCGGUGAAGAUAAUGACGGUAACCGGAGAAGAAGCCCGCUGACUUCAGUUGCCAGCCAGCCGCCGGGUAAUACGAAGGGGCGUAGCGUUGUUCGGGAAUUACUGGGCGUAAAGCGCACGUAGGCGGACAUUUAAGUCAGGGGUGAAAUCCCGGGGCUCAACCCGCACGUAGCCUUGACUUACUGGGUGUCUUGAGUUCGAGAGAGGUGAGUGGAAUUCCGAGUGUAGAGGUGAAAUUCGUAGAUAUUCGGAGGAACACCAGUGGCGAAGGCGGCUCACUGGCUCGAUACUGACGCUGAGGUGCGAAGCGUGGGGAGCAACAGGAUUAGAUACCCUGGUAGGCUCUGC
rnacentral:rRNA from 1 species